GUGGCGGCCGGGCAACGCCGCACAGCAGCCGGGCAGCGGAGAGGGGCGGACCUCGCCACAUCGGCCGCCCCGCCUGCAUUCCGCCACACGCCCCGGGCCACCGCCCAGAGGCGGGCAGGCUGCGGACGCCAUCUUGGCUGCGCCGGGUGGGUGGAACCUACGCUGCAGUCGGAGGAUCCGGGGCCGCUCUCCGACCCUCACCCGGCAGUCGUGGGGGAGUGCCGAGCUUCUCGGCUAGGUCGGGAUCUCUAGUGGCGUUCCCGGCGGCGCAGCCGGGCCGCAGCCCUCAUAGGAGCAGCAAGUCACUAUCGGACAUCGACCCCCUCUUCCUUACGCGGGUCGCCAUUCCCAGCCUUGUGGGGCAGAGCAGCUCAGAAAACCUUCAUCCUGCCUGACAAGUGAUAAAGGUUAUCAAGUAUACGCUUCCAUGUGAUCCAGAGGCCUGCCUGCCUAGCCUCAGGAGCAUGGCCACACACAUACACCGUCUGGAGUCGGUCCCUGCAACGUACCUUUACAUACUCGCCUUGCGUUUAGAAAAUCAGUGAAGCUUCCCUGGAGAAGAAAUUGGAGGGCAAAUCUGUGCUCAAUGUUGUAUCGUGGAUCCGCAGUGGGGGAGUUGGAGAAACAGUUUUUUACUGCGGUAUCUAAAUGCAGCUCCUAGCGCGGAUCGAAGGACUGACAAAAAGGAGUCUGUAAGAUUAUUUUUAGUCGUGUGGCACAUGUGCUCUGGUACUUGCUGCUAGCCACAAUAAUCUCCUGCCUUGAAGUGGCAACAUAAUUUUUUCCAUCAAGAAAAAAAAAAAAAAAAAAGGAGUUCAGAGUCCAGCUCUGUCUCCAGGGCAGAAACUGCUAUGUCUGAAUCACACUGGAACCUCCAGAAACAGACUAUGCCUCUUCCCCUGAAGGACUCAUCUUAAGCCUUGAGUUACUGCCAGGACCUGGUCCCUACCAGUCAACCUGUGUCACCUUUCAAGCAAAUGCAAUCCACUGCUAUUAGUCCCUCCCACAGCAAUCUCAGGAAAGGAAGUUCCUUCUGGCAUAUUUUUUGAGUUACAAUUUUUAACCCUAUCUUCCUACAUCCUUUUCUAGACUAAACAAUAGCCUGUUUCAAACUUCUCUUGCAACUUGAAGAGGUCAGGCCCAAGUAAAGCCAUGAACAGAACCUGGUCCUUCUUUGAGAUGUUGGCCUUGAAUUACUGACUUCUUCAAGUGACAGCAGCUGCUCCCACAUACAGAAAUCCUGCAGCAAGCUCUAGUAAAACAAUACAAAAACAUCUUCUGACAGAAGUAGGAGAGGAGACUCCUCUCUUGUGAAAUGCUGCUCCCCACAUGUAAGUAGGAUGCUCAAAGACUGUAAAACAACUGGCUUCCACACUGCUGGAGUUGUGCUGACAGUUAUCCCAGUGGGCUUAGGCUGUUACUCUUGCUUUUGUAGGCAGUUCUUACCAUAUAUAGGGAAAGUAAAGCUCUUGUGUUUCGUAGCAGCUCAGUCUCUUCAUGUGUCAUACAGAGUGAGUGGUCUCCUGGUCUGACCGUGUAGAGUUUUUCCUAAGUCAGGUAACUCACUAUGAAGUUGUUGAGGAGGCUUAUGGAUAUCUGCACCACUGGAUGUAGGUCAAGUUUAUUCUCUUGCUGUUGGGACAGACAGACAUUUGAGUAUUUCCUGACAGUUCUUUCUCACGUACAAAUAUGAUCCAUAAUGAGAGAAGCCAGUGAAGUAACGUGCCUACAGCUCUAUAGCCAGAGGUGGUGUAUAAUUCUGGGUGAAUUUAUAUUUCAGUGUACUUAGCUUCAUAAAGACUCAGACAAGGAUAUGGAAGUCAAAGAAGGGGGGGAUGUAAAAAGUAUUACCAGCUAUGUACUUUAAAGUGUUUUUAUGGAUUGGUCCAGCUGCCAAAGAUGCCUGAAGACACCAGUUGUUACUGCACGUGAUUUCAUUGUAGAAGUGUUCUCCUUCCUCCACCAAAACUACUUUUUCACCCUGAGAGCUUUCGGAUCAAGUACUGCUGCCUGUUUCCUUUAACGUGGUGUGGCAAGAAAAAGACAAUUGUCUUCUGGGAAAACGGAAAAGAGGAAUAUGAAACCUGCACCUUCACAUCCUUCCACCACAAACUGCUUUGCUGAUGUUGUUUGUAACCGUAUCCCGACGAAACUACUCUUCAGUAUAUUCAGCCCUAUUCUAACGAGCUUUACAUCAGACCUCCUGCCUUCAUCCUGCUGGAGUUCCUUGUGGCGAUGUUUCUUUGGCUCUUGUACUUGACUCGAUACAUUGUUGCAGAAUGGUUUCUGUCCCACUGUGGAUAGUAUUGCAGCGCGGUGCUAGGCACCAGCUGUAUUCACAUGCCAACUCGUGCCAAGUGUGCACAUACUAUCAUCAGACAUCUCUUUUAUGUCAUGUAAAACAAAUUUGUGACUGCAUCUCGUCUGAGCUUUGAACUAUGUUCAUUGCUUUUUGCAUAGCUGAGAAAAUAAAAGAGUUUGAAGUUAUCCUAGCUAAUUGGCCUGGUCGCAGCAAAGACUAUUAUUAUUGUUAUUAUUAUUUUCAAAAGACAGUAUGUCUCAGGAAAGGAGAAAAUUUCAGUCAAAGUGGCAGAAGGUUAUCAUUAGCCAAACCUACUGUGCACACAUCUACAAACAUCUUUCAGCUUUCAGAAUCUGGCUGUCUGGAAAUGUGAACAUGUGAAUGGAAACCACUUGAUAUGCUGGGCUUGCUUUUUGUAUGGAAUCAGACACCAACCAGCCAAUGGGGGGAGCAGCUAAGGGGCAGGUACUUACACUCUGAAAAUGAAACACUGUUUUUAUACUUACUAACAUAGCAAGAUUUCUGUUGCUUACUCUACAUAUAGCUGUACCUAGAAACCCCAAUGAAAACUGGAGUCAGCAGUGUUCUAAUAGUGAAGACAGCACCAGAGUAACGCAGCUCAUCACUUAUUUGUUCAAGACUUACUGUUUAUUUUAUUGCAGGUCAGUGAACAAAACGCAGUCAUGAGAUCUUAAUCUCUAGCUGUUUAAUCUUAACCACCCCCUCACCAUUUUUCUCCUACUCAAGUGUGCAGCAGCAAUAUCCCCUCCUUCCUUCGUGUAAUGACCUCAUUUCAACCCGCAAUUUCUCUGUACUUUGGCUUUCAGGAGGUCAGACUGAUAGAGUUGUAAAGAAACUUGCACAGGUCUAUGUACUACCUGCUGCCUACUGCUGUACUGAGUUUGUCUGCAAAAACAGAAGCCCCUGUUUAGAAGCUGGUGGAUACUUUGAGAUUCAGGAGUGAGCCUGUGCUGAAUAUGAUAGGCAGACAAGUCUCAGCAGUGAACACUGGCCAUGGAGGAAGUGAUAAAUGAGUCUGGAUAGUGCAUUCCAGCAACCCCAUUUCCUGCAGAGUGAACUAAACAGACCAAAACAGACAAUGCUGCACAAAUUGAUGGUUAAAAUGUUCCUCCUGUGUAAGAGAGGGUGGUGUUGCUAUUAAGCCCACUUUAGCCUUCUCAUCUGAAUCCAUUAGGCCUUGAAUUGAGAUUCUAGUGGCUUGAAAGGAAAGUGGAAUGAUGCAUGGCCAAGAAGCCUCAUCAUUAUCAGCAUUAAGACUCACUAGAUAAUCUGUAAUUUCUUAAUGUAUCAAGAUUUGUGAUAC